AUCGAAACCUGAUGUAGUCCCAUCAAGAAUAUGUUGAGCCCACCAUGAAAUAAAUGUCUGAAACAGAACACCACAAAACCUUGGUGUUAAGCUUUUAUUUGGGAAAGGAGGAGAUGUGUCUUGAUUUGAUGGUUAGCGGAGACAGCUACAGAUACCACACCUCACAUGGAGGAGGAAGGUCACCGACAUGUGAACAGAGAUCAUGUUCAACAUAGAGUCAACGGAUUCACGCACAUGAUAAAGCCAAAGAGUCGAUGCAAAGAUUAGUCCGUCAUUAUUAUUGGACAGAACAAGAUUAAUCCGCACAAGCACAUAAAAAACAUUCGUGUGUAUAGUAAUUCUAUUUUAUAUUGAAUAAAAAUAGAAAAUUAUUACGGUGAGAGCAGGCGAACAUUACGAAGCUUUUGCUAGCGUGCAGGAGGACGACGGCGGAAGCGCGUCAAGGGAGAUGAACGAGAAGUGCAGCAAGAAGCUCCCAUUUGAGUACCUUCCCCUCACGGCAGCAGUAAGACGACGACGGAGUCCAACCGAGGGGCGAGGCGGUAAGCAAGUGGAGAUUCCAUCGAUGGCGAUCUCAUCCAUAGCAUUUUGUAUUUGGUGAGCGCAUGUGGACGGUUCGGUUCACGUGACACGGUUUCCCGUGAAGUGACCCUUCAAUUUUGGCUGCCGCGGAUCCCGUGCCCCACCCGCCUGUCGAAAUAAACCACGUCUAUCUACGUAGCACGUGAUUACC
rnacentral:lncRNA from 1 species